AAUGCAUGCAGGAAUAAUUUGGCCACCAACAGUGUGUGUGAACCUCAAAACCCUCCCUAACCGGCUGAAGAAAGAGCGACAAAGCCGUUCAAUGCGACAUUGACUUUUAACACUUCUGAGUCCGAGACAAACCUGGGUACGGGCGGCAGGAGUGCUGAGACCGUGCGCGCGGAAUGAGCUAGGAGAGAGAUAGAGGCUCAGGUGAAAGCAGCACAUGAGGAGCAGGAGAUAAACGAGGGCACGAGCUGAAUUCUGGAGAUUGAGUGUACAUCAAGAUACACCAGGCGGGGGUGUUGGGACAGUGUUGGUCUGGUCCAUGCAUAGUACUCCUUACAUCACCUGCAGCGGUAAAGAUCGUUAUGUCUCUCCUCGGUGGAUGCACAAUUCUCACGGGAAGUGAGGUCCAGCUGCAUAAUAGGUGACGUGCCUAUCAGGUGGCAAUGGAGGAAAUGGGGAACAAAGUGAAAAUGACAUUUCUUGGGAACACCUCUCGGAACCUGGGGCCGGAAAGGGGAAGACUGGCCGAAAGCAUGAGUAGGCUUAUAUUUUUGUGGAAUCCAGCAGAAAAGUAUCCUGGAGGCAUAGAGUCAGGAACCAGAAGGAGAACGUUGAACUGGGAGAAGUCAACAGCUCCAUGGGACAAGUUAUUAUCAGUGUUCUAUGAGAGAUGGAAAUAAGAUUUGUAUGGUGUGAUCAUAGAACAGUUGAAAAGUUUCUGACUUUGUAAACCUCAUGAUGUUUGUUCAUUUAUAAUCAUGUUUUAUUAUUUUUUGUUCAUGUUUUAUUAUCACUGUUUGUUCAUUUAUAAGUAAUUUAUAAGUGUAAGUGAGUUGAACAGUAGGAAGCUAUUGUUCUAGAGGAGGGACUGUUGUGUUCUGAGAAUAUAAAAUAUACUUAUUCAUGUCACUGAGGGAGAGAGGGUAAUGUAUAACGUUUACAUUAUAUCAGGGAUCCUAUUGAACAUGCAGGGUGCAGGGAAGCGAUCACAUGUGGCAGGCUUUGAUAAGGGGAGAGAGCCAUGGAUUAGUGAUGAAGGGGGGGGUCGAGAUUAGGUCAGGUCUCGUUAAGGGAGAAAUACAAGUUUAUGGCUCGCAUCACUUAGUGCCCUGCCUAGCAGUAAAGACACAAUGUUUGUACAGAUGUGUAGGAAGAGACUCAGCCUAGGAGAAAGGGUUAAAUAU